rnacentral:rRNA from 1 species
AACGUAGGUUCCGAGCGUUAUCCGGAUUUACUGGGCGUAAAGCGCGUUCAGGCGGUUUGGCAAGUCGGGCAUGAAAUCUCUCGGCUCAACCGGGAGAGGUUGUCCGAUACUGCUGGACUUGAGGGCAGUAGAGGGUGGUGGAAUUCCGGGUGUAGUGGUGAAAUGCGUAGAUAUCCGGAGGAACACCAGUGGCGAAAGCGGCCACCUGGACUGCACCUGACGCUGACACGCGAAAGCGUGGGGAGCAAACAGG